CGCCUCUCUGUUUCUCCUCUCCUCUCUUUCUCCUUUCUUCCGAGCGCUUUCGACACCGGCUUUCCCAGGAGUACGGUCGGCAAAUAAAGGUUUAUCAGAGAAAAGAAUGUCCCUAAACAUCCGGUUAGCGGCCGGGAAAGCGGGGAUCGCCAGCGAGCGAGAGCAGCGCCAGUCGCGUCGCGGUACCUUACGAAUAGCCUAAAAGGAAACUAGCAGAGACGAUGGCGAAAGAGCCACGGGACAAGACGUGCGCCGUGAGGUACUUCAUACGCACGCUCAGGUACGCCGCCGCGGACGAGGACGAAGAGAAGAGCCAGGCGGGUCUCACUGCGAGGAGCAUCCUGGAGGCGAGCGAUGGCCGGGGGACGCAGGCGGACGGCGGAGAGGAGCGUGAGAGCGGGGAGGCCGCCCUCGAAGGAUGUCAGGCGGCGGGGAUAAGCCUCGGGGAAGCGACAGGCGCCUCCAUGGCUGCCGAGGCUGGGGGAGGCGGCGGCGAGCGGCACGAGGCAGGGGCGACGCCGGAGGCUGGGUGCCAGGCCGCCGGGCUGAGCCAGAUGAGCCUCGAAGGAAGAAGAGGCUCUAAGACCAGCGCUCUCGACGACGACGACGACACCGACGACGACGAAGACGGAGAGGAAUAUGUCGACGACGAUUCGGAUCCAGCAUCGAACUUUCUUCCCGGGUCCGGAGCACGGACGACAUCAUAGCCAUUAUUAGAGAACAGGAAAAUGAAGAACAGGAAGAACAGGAGGACCAGGACGAUCUGCUGGAGGCCCCCGAAGCGUCCUCGUCCCCCGGAGCCUCGGGGGAAGCGAAAGGAUGCCUCGGAGUAAGGCGCCGCAUGGCGUUUCGGGAACCAAGGAAAGCCAACUUUAACUUCAGGAAAAAGGCUCGAGGACGACCCGUGCAACGGAGUGACAGCGUCGAGUCGGACGAGGACGAGGUGCCCAACCUCCUGCGCUCCAUCUCCUCCGACCACGAGGACGAGGUCAGGGAUGAGGCCCUCGAUAUUGAUUCAGGUGGGUGGCUGGC